UAAAUAAAAUUUGUAUAAAAAUAUAGUAUAAUUUAUAAUUAAUAAAAAUAAUUUUAAUAUUUAAAGUUUAUGUAUAUUUUAUAGAUAAAAUAAUUGUAACAAUAGUUUAUAGUAUAGUAAUAGAAUAUUGAAAUAAAUAUAAUUAGUAAAAAAGUAAUUUUUAUUUAAUGUACCUUUUGUAUCAGGGUUUAUUAAAAAUAAUUUAUUAAAAAUAAAUUUCUCGAAUUUAAAAGAGCUAAAUUAAUAUAAAAUUUAUUGUAUUAAAAAUAUUUUAAAUAUUAUUUUAGUAAUGAAAAGUUAAUCGUUUUUAAAUAUAUCUAGUUUUUUAAGAAAUAAAUUUAAUUUAUUAUUAAUUUUAUAUUAAUUUAUUUAAAAAAUUUAAUAUAAAUUAAUAAAAAUUUUUUUAGGGAUGAGCUUAGAAAAAUUGAUUUAUAAAAUAAAAUUUUAAAUAAAAAAUAUAGAAUUAGAAAUUUUCAUUAUUAAUAAAAAUGUUAUAAUUUAUUAAAAAUUAUAAUUAAUUUAUUUAGUUUUUAAAUUAAUUAUUAAAAUAUUUAUUUAAAUAAAGAAAGUAAAGAAAUAAUGAUAAAAUUAGUAUUAAUUUAUAUAAAAAUAUAAGUUAUAUUUAGAUAAAUAUAAGGAAUUCAGCAAAAAUAAUAUUCACCUGUUUAUCAAAAACAUGUCUUUUUGAAAAUAAUAUAAAGUCUAACCUGCCCACUGAUUUUAUUAAAGGGCCGCGGUAUAUUGACUGUGCAAAGGUAGCAUAAUCAUUUGUCUUUUAAUUGAAGGCUAGAAUGAAUGGUUGAAUGAAAUAUUAACUGUCUCAUUUUUAAAAAUUUAAAAAUUUAGCUUUUAAGUUAAAAGGCUUAAAUAAAUUUAAAAGACGAGAAGACCCUAUAGAUCUUUAUAUUUAUUUAAAUUUUAUAAUUUUGAAAAAUAUUUAAUAAAAUUUAAAUAAAUAUUUUAUUGGGGUGAUAGGAAAAUUAAAAUAACUUUUCAUAAUUAUUAAACAUAGAUUUAUGAUUAAUUGAUCCAAUUUUAUUGAUUAUAAGAUUAAGUUACCUUAGGGAUAACAGCGUAAUUUUUUUAGAGAGUUCAUAUCGAUAAAAAAGAUUGCGACCUCGAUGUUGAAUUAAAAAUUAUUUCUAGAUGCAGAAGUUUAGAGUUUAGGUCUGUUCGACCUUUAAAUUUUUACAUGAUUUGAGUUCAGACCGGCGUAAGCCAGGUCGGUUUCUAUCUUUAAUUUGUUAAAAUAUUUUAGUACGAAAGGACCAAAUAUUUAAAAUAAUUUUUUUAUAUUGAAUAAUAUU
rnacentral:rRNA from 1 species